rnacentral:rRNA from 1 species
GAUGAACGCUGGCGGCGUGCCUAAUACAUGCAAGUCGAGCGAACAGACGAGGAUCUUGCUCCUCUGACGUUAGCGGCGGACGGGUGAGUAACACGUGUAUAACCUACCUAUAAGACUGGGAUAACUUCGGGAAACCGGAGCUAAUACCGUAUAAUAUAUUGAACCGCAUGGUUCAAUAGUGAAAGACGGUUUUGCUGUCACUUCUCGAUGGAUCCGCGCCGUAUUAGCUAGUUGGUAAGGUAACGGCUUACCACGGCAACGAUGCGUAGCCGACCUGAGAGAGGGAUAGGCGACACUGGAGCUGAGACACGGUCCAGACUACUACGGGAGGCAGCAGUAGGGAAUCUUCCGCAAUGGGCGAAAGCCUGACGGAGCAAGGCGGCGUGAGUGAUGAAGAUCUUCGGAUCGUAAAACUCGGUUAUGAGGGAAGAACAAAUGUGUAAGUAACUAUGCACGGCUUGACGGUAACUAAUAAGAAAGCAACGGCUAACUACGUG